rnacentral:rRNA from 1 species
GAUGAACGCUGGCGGCGUGCCUAAUACAUGCAAGUCGAGCGAACAGACGAGGAGCUUGCUCCUCUGACGUUAGCGGCGGACGGGUGAGUAACACGUGGAUAACCUACUUAUAAGACUGGGAUAACUUCGGGAAACCGGAGCUAAUACCGGAUAAUAUAUUGAACCGCAUGGUUCAAUAGUGAAAGACGGUUUUGCUGUCACUUAUAGAUGGAUCCGCGCCGCAUUAGCUAGUUGGUAAGGUAACGGCUUACCAAGGCAACGAUGCGUAGCCGACCUGAGAGGGUGAUCGGCCACACUGGAACUGAGACACGGUCCAGACUCCUACGGGAGGCAGCAGUAGGGAAUCUUCCGCAAUGGGCGAAAGCUUGACGGAGCAACGCCGCGUGAGUGAUGAAGGUCUUCGGAUCGUAAAACUCUGUUAUUAGGGAAGAACAAAUGUGUAAGUAACUAUGCACGUCUUGACGGUACCUAAUCAGAAAGCCACGGCUAGCUACGUG